rnacentral:rRNA from 1 species
UACGUAGGUGGCAAGCGUUGUCCGGAAUUAUUGGGCGUAAAGAGCUUGUAGGCGGUUUGUCGCGUCUGCUGUGAAAUUUCGGGGCUCAACCCCGAACUUGCAGUGGGUACGGGCAGACUAGAGUGCUGUAGGGGAGACUGGAAUUCCUGGUGUAGCGGUGAAAUGCGCAGAUAUCAGGAGGAACACCGGUGGCGAAGGCGGUUCUCUGGGAAUAUCCUGACGCUGAGGAGCGAAAGUGUGGGGAGCGAACAGG